GAUGAAGAACGCAGCGAAAUGCGAUAAGUAAUGUGAAUUGCAGAAUUCAGUGAAUCAUCGAAUCUUUGAACGCACAUUGCGCCCGCUAGUAUUCUGGCGGGCAUGCCUGUCCGAGCGUCAUUUCAACCCUCAAGCCCCCGGGCUUGGUGUUGGGGAUCGGCGAGCCUCCGCGCCCGCCGUCCCCUAAAUCUAGUGGCGGUCUCGCUGUAGCUUCCUCUGCGUAGUAGCACACCUCGCACUGGGAAACAGCGCGGCCACGCCGUAAAACCCCCAACUUCUGAACGUUUGACCUCGGAUCAGGUAGGAAUACCCGCUGAACUUAAGCAUAUCAAUAAGCGGAGGA
rnacentral:misc_RNA from 1 species